GGGCCCGCACAAGCGGUGGAGCAUGUGGUUUAAUUCGAUGAUACGCGAGGAACCUUACCAGGGCUUAAAUGUGGUUUGACAGCUUUAGAGAUAGAGUUUUCUUCGGACAAAUCACAAGGUGCUGCAUGGUUGUCGUCAGCUCGUGCCGUGAGGUGUCAGGUUAAGUCCUAUAACGAGCGCAACCCCUGUUGUUAGUUGCCAGCGAGUAAUGUCGGGAACUCUAGCAAGACUGCCGGUGCAAACCGUGAGGAAGGUGGGGAUGACGUCAAAUCAUCACGGCCCUUACGUCCUGGGCUACACACGUGCUACAAUGGUAGGGACAGAGAGCAGCCAUACAGCGGUGAAUCCGUUCCCGGGCCUUGUACACACCGCCCGUCACACCAUGGGAGCUGGUCAUACCCGAAACCGUUAGCUUAACCAUUUG
rnacentral:rRNA from 1 species